UACGUAGGCAGCGAGCGUUGUUCGGAGUUACUGGGCGUAAAGGGUGUGUAGGCGGUUCUUAAGUUUGGUGUGAAAUCUACCCGCCUCAACCGGGAGGGUGCGCCGAAUACUGAGGGACUUCGAGUGCGGGAGAGGAAAGUGGAAGUUCCUGGUGUAGCGGUGAAAUGCGAUAGAUAUCAGGAGGAACACCGGUGGCGAAGGCGGAUCUCUGGGCCUUACCUGACGCUCAGGUGCGAAAGCUAGGGGAGCGAACAGG
rnacentral:rRNA from 1 species